rnacentral:rRNA from 1 species
GACGAAGGGGGCUAGCGUUGUUCGGAACUACUGGGCGUAAAGCGAGUGUAGGUGGUUGUCCAAGUUGGAUGUGAAAGCCUUGAGCUCAACUCAAGAAAUGCAUUCAGGACUGGGCGGCUAGAGGACCGGAGAGGAUAGUGGAAUUCCCAGUGUAGUGGUGAAAUACGUAGAGAUUGGGAAGAACACCAGUGGCGAAGGCGGCUAUCUGGACGGUUUCUGACACUAAGACUCGAAAGCGUGGGGAGCAAACAGG